rnacentral:sRNA from 1 species
GUCAGGUGUGGUGGCACAUGCCUCUAUUCCCAGUCACAAGGGAGGCUUAGGUGAGAGGAUCACUUGAGCCCAGAAGUUUGAGACCAGCCUGGGCAAUGUAGUCAGACCCUGUCUUAA